UACAGAGGGGGCAAGCGUUAUUCGGAAUUAUUGGGCGUAAAGGGCGCGUAGGCGGCCUGGCAAGUGGAAGGUGAAAUCCCUCGGCUUAACCGAGGAACUGCCCUCCAAACUGCUUGGCUUGAGUCCGGGAGAGGUGAGUGGAAUUCCCGGUGUAGUGGUGGAAUGCGUAGAUAUCGGGAAGAACACCAGUGGCGAAAGCGGCUCUCUGGGGACCACCUGACGCUGAGGCGCGAAAGCGUGGGGAGCGAACCGG
rnacentral:rRNA from 1 species